rnacentral:rRNA from 1 species
AAAGGAAUAGACGGGGGCCCGCACAAGCGGUGGAUCAUGUGGUUUAAUUCGAAGCAACGCGAAGAACCUUACCUGGGUUUGACAUCUCUGGACAACCGUAGAGAUACGGCUUUCGUAGCAAUACGACCGGAAGACAGGUGCUGCAUGGCUGUCGUCAGCUCGUGUGGUGACAUGUUGGGUUAAGUCCCGCAACGAGCGCAACCCCUGUCCUUAGUUGCCAGCAUUCAGUUGGGCACUCUAGGGAGACUGCCGUGGUUAACACGGAGGAAGGUGGGGAUGACGUCAAGUCCUCAUGGCCUUUAUAUCCAGGGCGACACACGUGAUACAAUGGACGGUACAGAGGGAUGCGAAGAGGUGACUCGGAGCUAAUCUCAAAAAGCCGUUCUCAGUUCGGAUUGGAGUCUGCAAUUCGACUCCAUGAAGUUGGAAUCGCUAGUAAUCGCGGAUCAGCACGCCGCGGUGAAUACGUUCCCGGGCCUUGUACACACCGCCCGU